rnacentral:lncRNA from 1 species
AGGGCACUGACCAAUCCGUCAUCCUUCACAUACUAGAUGUUCCUCCUGCUGCUGAAGCACUUAGUGGAGUGAGAUGGGAUUGGUCAAUGCUGCACUCCCUCUUCUCAAAGGUUAGUUGUUUACUCUUGAGUAGUGAAAAUAAUCGUCAGUAGUUUCAUAAAUUUUGACAUUUUGUAUGCCAGAUGAGAUAUAAGUUAAAAGUGGAUAACUUGUAUCUAUCUACUAUGCUAUUUAAAUCAGGUGGUGUUGCAGCAACUAAUGUUGUUGAAACAUGCAAUGGUUGGUGGUUUCCCCAGGAAAGAGGAAAGAUGUGAUAUUAAAGAAUGUUUCAUAUACAAAUCCCAGGUUUCAGUUCUUGAGAAGCAGGCCACUGCCAAUUGCAAGGUGAUUAGCUUAUAUCGAAGUUUCUUGCUGGCCUUUUUUUUAUAGAAUUUUUAUAGAAUAAUGCUAUAUCAUCUUUAGUAUUGUUCUAUAUUUUUAUCAUCAUUAAAUUCGUAGUCAAAAACUCAAAGUUCGACAUUAAAUUUUGCCCGCACUGAAAAAUAAUACUGACUCCGCCCCUGAUAGCAUGAAUUUAUAAAUGUCAAAAGAGUACAUAGAUGAUUAUGUGGCUGCUGGUCAAUAAGUGUGAUUGCUUUUUACUAUAUAACAGUAAAAAUUUUGAUUAAAAUUUGUUGAAAAUUACUCCCAAACAAAAGCUAGACAAAUUUAUACUUCAACAAAUUUACAUGCUAGUCAACUUCUAUGGAUUUUUUUUAAAAUAAUAAUUUUAUUUAUGAUAAUAGUAGUCUUAUAUAAAGAAUGAAAUUGCAAAUUUACAUUUAUAUGUUGAACCCUGU